CAGUCGCCGCGGGAAUACGAAGGGGGCUAGCGUUGCUCGGAAUGACUGGGCGUAAAGGGCGCGUAGGCGGCGGCCAAAGUCAGGCGUGAAAUUCCCGGGCUCAACCUGGGGGCUGCGUUUGAUACUUGGUUGCUUGAGUGGGGAAGAGGGUCGUGGAAUUCCCAGUGUAGAGAUGAAAUUCGUAGAUAUUGGGAAGAACACCGGUGGCGAAGGCGGCGACCUGGUCCUUUACUGACGCUGAGGCGCGAAAGCGUGGGGAGCAAACAGGAUUAGAUACCCCCGUAGUCCCUGUCUCUUAUAC
rnacentral:rRNA from 1 species